UACGUAGGGGGCUAGCGUUGUCCGGAAUCAUUGGGCGUAAAGAGCGUGUAGGCGGCCCGGUAAGUCCGCUGUAAAAGUCAAAGGCUCAACCUUUGAAUGUCAGUGGAUACUGCCGGGCUAGAGUCCGGAAGAGGCGAGUGGAACUCCUGGUGUAGCGGUGGAAUGCGCAGAUAUCAGGAGGAACACCGGGGGCGAAGGCGGGUCUCUGGGCCGUAACUGACGCUGAGGAGCGAAAGCGUGGGGAGCGAACAGG
rnacentral:rRNA from 1 species